UAAAGCAUAAUUAAAAAAUAAUAUAAGACUUUUAAUCUAACAUUGUAGCUCCCUACUGCUUUAA
rnacentral:tRNA from 1 species